rnacentral:rRNA from 1 species
GACGAACGCUGGCGGCGUGCUUAACACAUGCAAGUCGAGCGGUAAGGCCCUUCGGGUACACGAGCGGCGAACGGGUGAGUAAUCACGUGGGUGGCCUGCCCUUCACUCUGGGAUAAGCCUGGGAAACUGGGUCUAAUACCGGAUAUGACCUGCUCUCGCAUGGGGGUUGGGUGGAAAGUCAGUGUUGUAGUGAUGCUGGCGGUGGUGGAUGGGCCCGCGGUCUAUCAGCNGUUGGUGGGGUGAUGGCCUACCAAGGCGACGACGGAUAGCCGGCCUGAGAGGGCGACCGGCCACACUGGGACUGAGACACGGCCCAGACUCCUACGGGAGGCAGCAGUGGGGAAUCUUGCGCAAUGGGCGGAAGCCUGACGCAGCAACGCCGCGUGGGGGAUGACGGCC